AUAUUUGUUACAAAAUACGCACGGUGUUGAUAUAAUUUUCUCCAUUUCAAAUAUUACGUAACAAAGAUGACUCUAUUCUCGCCAUUACCAUGGGAACUGUAUGAGAAAGGAAGUACACGGUUCUGGGUACAUUAUGGGCUGGUUAUCUUGGGGUUUGUUCUAGCUGUUAUAACAAUAUUUGCACAGUGGGCAAAACCUGCACCAUACGGCAAGCAUGAAACAAAUGAUGCUAACUGGGGACCAAUGAUACCACAAAGACUCGGUCAUAUAUUUUCUGAUGCCUUGCCUGGAGUACUCAUGUUUUUAUUGGUAUUUUUCUUUUAUGGUAAUAUGAGAGAACGAACAAACUAUAUUUUCCUGGCAUUAUGGCAGGCCCAUUAUAUACAUAGAGGAGUUAUACAUCCAAUGUUAAUGAGGUACAGAAGUAAAAAAGUGGCACUGGGAAUUACACUUGGAGGGUUUUUCCCAAAUUGUUUGUUUCAUUUUAUAAAUGCAGACUUUGUGGGCAAUGUCAAUUUUGCAGACCAUUAUUAUUAUGACCCUAGAUUUAUUAUUGGAAUAUUGCUGUACAUUAUGGGCUAUUUUAUCAAUAGAUGGGCUGACCACAAAUUGAGGUCACUGAGGGAGACAAAAGGUGAAGAUGGUUGUACUGGAUAUUACAUUCCAUAUGGUGGUCUGUUUGAACUGAUCACAUGUCCAAACUAUUUUGGAGAGCUGGUUGAAUGGCUAGGAUGGUCCUUGGCUACCUGGUCACUGGCUGGCCUUGUGUGGGCCCUGUUUUCUGCAGCAACAUUUAUACCUCGGUCUUGGCAUAAUCAUAACUGGUACAAACAACAGUUUGAACAUUAUCCAAGCAACAGAAAAGCACUUAUUCCUUGGGUGUAUUAGUAAUAUUUUAGGGUGGUUCCGUUGGGGGACGAGUCUCUACUAUAACAGGGACGUGCGAGGGUCUUGAUCGAAAACGGUGGUUAAAUGACCCGAUGAAAAGUGGAUAUGCUUAUUUCAAGAAAACAAACGUAACAGAAGAGUUUGAGCCACCGAUGAUCGGCUGCGACACAGUCUGGUGGCUACCAGUUGUAUUUGGUAAAGGAGCAAAAGUCGAGAUUACCAUCACAACACCAGUACAUCCAUGGGGGGGAGUAAGUUAAACAGAGUUUAGUCUUUUUUAGAAUAAUACUUAAUAGUUGUUGUUAAAAUGCAAAUAUUACUCUCACACAAAGCAGUACAAAUGUCAUUGCUUUAUCGUGCCACAAGAAGAUUCUAGCUAAUCACUUGAAACGCAAGGAUCUAAACAGUGUUAUAAUUUCUCUUGUUAUUAUCCUGGUUGCAAGGCAAAAUUGUAAGCAAAAUAAGGAAUUAAAAAAAAUCUGAUCAUAUAGAUAAGAUUGAUGAAAUCCCAAAGAGCUAUCAAAUGGAAUAUUGAAGCUGGAAAUUCUGUUGAAAUAAAAAGAAACUUACAAUUGAUUAAAGAUCACCACCUAAGUCGCACAUAAAAUGCGAUUGGCCACCUUAGAAUUUUACAGCGAUGGGCAAAUCAGGACGGGUCAGUACUGCAAUAUUAUAUGAUACAUAAUUCCAGUUCCAUAUAAAAUAUAUGAAUGAAUAAAUUAAAAUAGCCCUUACAUUUUAAUUUCCACAAAAAGCUUUGAACAUUUUUUUUCAGUUCGAAGCAUCUACACGUGAUCUGCACCCAGUUUAUUGGAAAAAUAAUAUCGAAGCAGUUUUAUGCUGGAAUGAAGUUUGAAAUAAAAAAAAAUAUAAUUUUUUUUUUCAUUAUUUUGUAAUCGCAAAGUGAGAAAUUAUGAAUAUCACAUUUUCAUUCUGGUGUUUUAUUUUAUUUUCGCAGUUAUUCCGGCUGUCUCAACGAGUCAGCUUAGAACCAUCUUUUGCAAAAUAUAAACUCUAAGAAACUCUUUUCUUAAUUUCGCUAAUUGUAACCAGUAGAAUUUACAGUGUAUAAUUAUAUUUUGACUUUUUUUUAUUUCCCUUUGUAUGGGAGAGAUUGGUUUGAGACUGACAAUACUAGCUACACGCAAUGAGUAUAUAGAGGUGAGUUUCCUGAACGAUAGAAUUGAAGUAGGCAAUAGCACCAGCAAUGAAACAACUGAGCUGACGCCUGAAACAAACAAGACCUAUACCAUUUCGUUUGUGGCAGAAAAUUCCUCGGUCAAGACAUUUAUAAACAACGUGGGUUUAAAAGACCAUCCAGUCAAAUCCCGUCUGAAUCUCUCCGACAUGAUUUUGACGCAUUACACAGGUGCCUGUGGCACAAAUCCUUUCCACAUUCACAGUUUCAUGUCGACAGCAGCAUAAAUUAGACGGGCGCUGACGUAUCACAGGCCGACACGAUCAAAUUCGACACGACAGAUGAUCAAUGCGACAAAAACACCGACAUGUCGUUUCGAUGCCAUGCCGGGUUUUUGUUCCUGGUUGUCGUUCAUUCUGCGAUGGAAGUCGUUAUGUGUCGGAAUGGAAAGCUACAGCUUCGGUUUUCUCGUCAUUCAUAUAUCUACUAAUCAGAGGCGUUUCCUGUUCCAUUGCUGGCGUUCAUAAUAUAUAGUGUUUAAUGUAAGAUUAAUAUAAAAGUCAUUAAUAAUAAUGUGUAAAAAAGGUUUAUACAUGGAUUAAAAUGAACAAGGUAUUAACAUGUAAUUGAAUACAUAAGUCUUUACCAUUUGUUGUGUCGACCUUUUUGUCCGUCGAUGUUUUUGUCGACAUUUUAUCGCGCUCCCAACAGGAACUGUAUUUUUGUGAAAUUGUUGUGUAUUUUAUAUAUUCUUACACAAAUAUCUUAUCUAAAUGUGAUCUGCUGUUUAAAAUUGAAAUGAAUGUAACGUCUUUGUAACUUGUUCAAGUUUUCUCAAUAUUGAAAAAAGACACGAGGACUUAAGGAGUGUCAGAAAGCAUGCACAAUUUGGACUUAUCGUAUAUCUUGAAGUAUAUCUUGAAGCACAAUUUGGACAUAUCGUAUAUCUUGAAGCACAAAUUGGAUGGAUAGAGUAUCAAGAGGCACAAUUCGGAUAGAUAGCAUCAAGCAUUUGACACAAACCAAACGAAAAUCUUCUAAGGCGUACAAAAAAAAAUGCAAACGCUACAUACAGUUUAUUUAUAUACAAGUGUUAAGGUGGAAUGCGCCCCAAUUGUUUUUGACGAAUAUUGUCAUGAAAUUUAUACUGUACAAAAUUCAAGAUAUAUGCGAUUGAGCUCCGGUUUU
rnacentral:misc_RNA from 1 species